rnacentral:rRNA from 1 species
UACGUAGGGGGCAAGCGUUGUCCGGAAUCAUUGGGCGUAAAGAGCGUGUAGGCGGCCCGAUAAGUCCGCUGUGAAAGUCCAGGGCUCAACCCUGGGAUGCCGGUGGAUACUGGCGGGCUCGAGUCCGGAAGAGGAGUGUGGAAUUCCUGGUGUAGCGGUGAAAUGCGCAGAUAUCAGGAGGAACACCAAUGGCGAAGGCAGCACUCUGGGACGUGACUGACGCUGAGACGCGAAAGCGUGGGGAGUAAACAGG